GAUGAACGCUGGCGGCGUGCCUAAUACAUGCAAGUCGAGCGAACAGACGAGGAGCUUGCUCCUCUGACGUUAGCGGCGGACGGGUGAGUAACACGUGGAUAACCUACCUAUAAGACUGGGAUAACUUCGGGAAACCGGAGCUAAUACCGGAUAAUAUAUUGAACCGCAUGGUUCAAUAGUGAAAGACGGUUUUGCUGUCACUUAUAGAUGGAUCCGCGCCGCAUUAGCUAGUUGGUAAGGUAACGGCUUACCAAGGCAACGAUGCGUAGCCGACCUGAGAGGGUGAUCGGCCACACUGGAACUGAGACACGGACCAGACUCCUACGGGAGGCAGCAGUAGGGAAUCUUCCGCAAUGGGCGAAAGCCUGACGGAGCAACGCCGCGUGAGUGAUGAAGGUCUUCGGAUCGUAAAACUCUGUUAUUAGGGAAGAAAAAAUGUGUAAGUAACUAUGCACGUCUUGACGGUACCUAAUCAGAAAGCCACGGCUAACUACGUG
rnacentral:rRNA from 1 species